rnacentral:rRNA from 1 species
AGGCAGCAGUGGGGAAUAUUGCACAAUGGGGGAAACCCUGAUGCAGCGACGCCGCGUGAGUGAAGAAGUAUUUCGGUAUGUAAAGCUCUAUCAGCAGGGAAGAAAAUGACGGUACCUGACUAAGAAGCCCCGGCUAACUACGUGCCAGCAGCCGCGGUAAUACGUAGGGGGCAAGCGUUAUCCGGAUUUACUGGGUGUAAAGGGAGCGUAGACGGCAGCGCAAGUCUGGAGUGAAAUCCCAUGGCUUAACCAUGGAACUGCUUUGGAAACUGUGCAGCUAGAGUGCAGGAGAGGUAAGCGGAAUUCCUAGUGUAGCGGUGAAAUGCGUAGAUAUUAGGAGGAACACCAGUGGCGAAGGCGGCUUACUGGACUGUAACUGACGUUGAGGCUCGAAAGCGUGGGGAGCAAACAGGAUUAGAUACCCUGGUAGUCCACGCUGUAAACGAUGAUUACUAGGUGUUGGGGGACCAAGGUCCUUCG